CGAACGGGUAAGUAAUGCGUGACCAACCUGCCCCAUGCUCCAGAAUAGCUCUUGGAAACGGGUGGUAAUGCUGGAUGCUCCAACUUGACGCAUGUCUUGUUGGGAAAGUGUUUAGUGGCAUGGGAUGGGGUCGCGUCCUAUCAGCUUGUAGGCGGGGUAAUGGCCCACCUAGGCUUCGACGGGUAGCCGGCCUGAGAGGGCGGACGGCCACAUUGGGACUGAGAUACGGCCCAGACUCCUACGGGAGGCAGCAGUC
rnacentral:rRNA from 1 species